CUGAUAUUGUUGAGAAUAAAUAAUUAUGUUUUCCUUUUUAAUGUCUUUUUAACUUUGUCGUCAGUGUUCCUUUCACUGUAAAUAGGAAUCUGGGCGUAUAUCAUACGUUAUCCAUUAACAGUUUUAAACAAAAAAUAAACUAACAAAUGAAACAUGUAAUACUUGUUUAAUUCCAGCAACAUUUGCAAAAUAUUUUGCUAAACAGACAUGAUAUAUUCAUUCAGCUAACUGUUUUUCUCAUUUGUUGUGUGUGAGUCACAGCACUAUUUCUUUAUAUCAGUUAUAUUAUGAAUGAAAAUAUCAGUCUGGUAAAAAUAAAUAAAAGUAAGCCACA